CACGUAGGCACCAAGCGUUAUCCGGAUUUAUUGGGCGUAAAGAGCUCGUAGGCGGUUCAGUCAGUCGGGUGUGAAAACUUGAGGCUUAACCUCAAGAGGUCACCCGAUACUACUGUGACUAGAGUGCGGUAGGGGAGCGGGGAAUUCCUGGUGUAGCGGUGAAAUGCGCAGAUAUCAGGAGGAACACCAGUGGCGAAGGCGCCGCUCUGGGCCGUAACUGACGCUGAGGAGCGAAAGCAUGGGUAGCAAACAGG
rnacentral:rRNA from 2 species